rnacentral:rRNA from 1 species
GAUGAACGCUGGCGGCGUGCCUAAUACAUGCAAGUCGAGCGAACAGACGAGGAGCUUGCUCCUCUGACGUUAGCGGCGGACGGGUGAGUAACACGUGGAUAACCUACCUAUAAGACUGGGAUAACUUCGGGAAACCGGAGCUAAUACCGGAGAAUAUAUUGAACCGCAUGGUUCAAUAGUGAAAGACGGUUUUGCUGGAACUUAUAGAUGGAUCCGCGCCGCAUUAGCUAGUUGGUAAGGUAACGGCUUACCAAGGCAACGAUGCGUAGCCGACCUGAGAGGGUGAUCGGCCACACUGGAACUGAGACACGGUCCAGGCUCCUACGGGAGGCAGCAGUAGGGAAUCUUCCGCAAUGGGCGAAAGCUUGACGGAGCAACGCCGCGUGAGUGAUGAAGGUCUUCGGAUCGUAAAACUCUGUUAUUAGGGAAGAACAAAUGUGUAAGUAACUAUGCACGUCUUGACGGUACCUAAUCAGAAAGCCACGGCUAACUACGUG